GGGGUAGUAGCUCAGUUGGUUAGAGCGCCUGCCUGUCACGCAGGAGGCCGCGGGUUCAAGUCCCGUCUAUCCCGCCA
rnacentral:tRNA from 4 species